rnacentral:lncRNA from 1 species
CGCGCCCCCGCCCGGGAGGCCGGCCCGGGAUGCGCGGCCGUUUAAAGGGCCCGCGCGCCUUUUCGGGGCUCGGGCUGCGGCCCCGCCGAGGCCCCGCGGGGGGCGCGGCGCUGGGCCCGGGAAGCCGCAGCCCGCCCGGGUCAGGUGCCCCCAAGCUCCGCGGAGAGCCACAGUGCCUGCCCUUUGGGAACCAGUUUCACCCAGAUUCCGGCAGUGGCCUUUGGGAGCUCGGCAGAGGUUUCCUGGCCGAGGAGCGCCGUCGGCCUGACCCAGGGUACGACAGGAACGAGGCCAGGUUUCAGUGGGAAGCCACUUGUCAUACCAAGAACCAGGAAGAUCUCAAAUGAAUGCAAAGAGACAAUCAACAGAGGCCAGCAUCAAGGUGGCACAGAGGUUAGAGCCCUCGGCGCAGCCUAAAGCAGCCACAGAAAAGGCGGUCAGUGAACGAUGACAGAAGCACUUGGGCGCAGGGAAGAAAGCAGAGCGUGAGCAACGGAACGGAAGCUAGGAAGCAGAACCAAAGGGCCAUGUCUGAGCCGACACAGGAAAGCUCGGGGGUGCGGACCAGCAGGAUGGAAGGGGCCAGGGAGAGGACCAGGACGUAUCCCCACAUCUGAAGGACGAGGACAGAAGAGCCCGGAAAAAUGGCAAAGCCGCGGGGACACGUGGGAUUACGAUAAAAGAUCUAAUGUUUGUGUCAUCAGACCCUCAGAAAGACACGGAAGGGAGGCAAGAGCUGAAAAUCUACUUGAAGAGAUAAUGGCCCAAAACUUCCCAAAUUCUUGAAAUGCCAAAGUUAAAGACACGGAGAACAGAUUCCUGGGUGAACCCACUAGGGGCGGUUCCAGCGCGACACGGACGCGGUUGAGAAAGGCAUCACGGGGCACUUCCCUGAAGAAGAUGCUCCAUGUGUCCGUCGUAUCCAUGUCGUCUCCCGGUGGGGACCACAGCUGUGUGACAUGCUACCCCCAGGGCGAGCAGCUAAAGGACAAGUGGGAUCCCUUGGCAUUACGUCUUACAGGUGCAAGAGAAUUCCGUGAUCUCAAAAUAGAAAGUACAGUUCAAAGAACAAGAAGUAGCCCCUUUCCGGCCACAGAGCUGUCUCCGCAUGUUCCCCCUCUGCGGUCCUUACACCGCCGCCCACGGCCUCUUCAUAGUGUGCGCCCACCUGGCAGAGCAAAGGUCUUCAGGAGAACCGAUCUUGCUGCAAAGUCGAUUUAGGUCCGCGUCGACUCAGCGUUCCACUGGGGCAAAGAAGCCAAAAGAGGCCCAUCCUCAAAACUUUGAUUUGGGUUUUGUUAGAAUCAAUGGACUCCAUCAACGAAUUGACCAAUCGCUAAGGUAAAUUGCCUCCUUGCUUCCUCCUAUGUAAACCCGGUUGCGAGAAGAAAACCAGAGAGGUAGACAAACCUAUGUUGUGAUUGAUAUUCGUAUCUUCAUUUCUAUUUUUCAGUAGCUAGCUCGGGGCCCUUCCAGCUACUAUAAUAAACAUAUCCACGU